rnacentral:rRNA from 1 species
CCUACGGGUGGCAGCAGUGGGGAAUAUUGCACAAUGGGCGAAAGCCUGAUGCAGCAACGCCGCGUGAGGGAUGAAGGCCUUCGGGUCGUAAAGCUCUGUCCUCAAGGAAGAGAAUGACGGUACUUGAGGAGGAAGCCCCGGCUAACUACGUGCCAGCAGCCGCGGGAAUACGUAGGGGGCGAGCGUGAUCCGGAAUUACUGGGCUUAAAGGGUGCGUAGGUGGUUUCUUAAGUCAGAGGUGAAAGGCUACGGCUAAACCGUAGACAGCCUUUGAAAAUGGGGAACGUGAGUGCAGGAGAGGAGAGUGGAAUUCCUAGUGUAGCGGUGAAAUGCGUAGAUAUUAGGAGGAACACCAGUUGCGAAGGCGGCUCUCUGGACUAUAACUGACACUGAGGCACGAAAGCGUGGGGAGCAAACAGGAUUAGAUACCCGAGUAGUC